UCAUCUAUGUUGUGGCAGGUGUCACAAUUUCUUUUCUAUUCAAGGUUGAAUAAUGUUCUAUCAUAUGUAUAUACCACCUUUUGUUUAUACAUUCAUCAUUAUACAAUCCAUACAUAUACAUGGAUUGCUUCUAUACAUUUUUAAAAACCCAAAAUUCUAUAUAAAACUUAGGCCAAAUUCUGCAACCAAUCUCCACAAAAUUCAGUAGUGAAAGGCUUUAUCUACAAGGAUAAAACUAGUAUUAUGACCUUUCUUUCUGUAAUUUCAAAGACUGACUUGGCUAAAUAUUCAUUCAUUCAUAUUCAUUCAUUCGAGUGCCUACUAUGUGCCAGGCACUGUGGUGGGCAGAAAGGAAGUGAGAAAGAAGGGAGGAGAGGAAAGGAGAAAAAGAGACAGAGAAUAUGAGUGCAUGAACUUCACAAUUGCCCCCCCACCCAGAGGUCUUUGUGGGGGUCACAGGAGCAGAACAGACAAAAUCUGACAUCAAGUUUCUGUUCAUGACAGUGAGAAACUGGAUUAAAAUAUUCAAGUUGAAAUGUCAAAAUAAACCCGUACUUUAAGAUGCCAAAUAAAAUUAAGUACCUAGAAAGCUAGUGAACAUGAAAAGCUGUGUGGUGCUGAUGAGACCACAUGGUUUGGCAUCCACUUCCUGGUUGUCUGGUACAAGAAGGCAAACACCAUCUGCCUCACUAGCUGUUGGGACCAUCAAAAGACCUAAGGUGUAUGAAAGACUUAAUGAAUUUUCAUGUUCCAUAAAAAACUUCUAAUCGCAGAUUUUGGUUUCAAAAUCCUAGAGCAGGAGUUGGCCAACUUUUUCUAUGAAGGUCCAGACAGUAAUAUUUUAGGCUUUGUGGACAACACACUAGGUCUCUGUCACAAUGAGCCACCUCAGUCCUGGUAGUAUGACAGAAGCCAUAGAAAGUAACAUAAAAUGAGUGUGGUUGUUUUUAUUUAUGAACACCAAAAUUGAAUUUCAUCUCAUUUUCUGAUGUCAUGAAAACAGUCUUCUGAUUGUUUUUUAUACAACUAAAAAUGUAAAAAGAAAAAAAAAACAGGCCAUAAAAAACAAAACAAAAAACAAAAACAAAAACAGGUAGAGGGCCAGAUUUGGCCUAUGCACAAAAGUUUGCUAACCUAGGCCCAACAGUUUAAAAGCUCAUAAGCUUCUUUAAAGGCAUAUGAUUUGAGAAACAAAGAUGGCAGGAUUAUAGGAUUUGGGGUCCAAUCUAGAUCUGAAUCUAGGCUCUACCACUUACUAGCUGUAUAAUAUUGGACAAAUCACUUUAACAUUUAUAAACCCUAGUUUAAUCAUCUGUUAAAUGGGAACAAUACCCACAUCACAUAGGAGUUAGUAUUCAUACACGAACAAGAUGCUGAGUGCUGUGUAAACUGUCAAGCUUUAAAGAACUAGGCAUUAUAAAGUAAAAAUACACAUUGAAAAAUGUACCAUAUUCUCUUCUGAGGUUUAUUUGCCAAAAAUUUGGGAAUAUAUUUUCAAUUCCUAAGUAGAAGAAAAAAUGAAGUAAUUUGGAGUAUAGACAGAUGUCUUGGAUUCCAUCUUCACUAAGCUAUUAGCAUUGUACGGUGUUGUUAUACCACUCAGUUAAUAAUUUAUCUUUCAUCGUCUGAUCAUAUUGUGUUCUCAACAGCUCUGCUUUGUCAUUUUGUGUUCUCCCCUCUUAAUCUUCAUUUAAGAGGAUCCAAUUUUAUAUAUAAAAUCACAAGAGAACACUGGCUGAAGCACCUCUCAUAAUAAAUGACUGAGACAGGUUGCUUCUUGCUAUCAUAUGCUCUACUUUCUAUUUCUUAAAUUUCAGAGCAAUCAAUCUCAGCAAAGCUAGGGACUCUCAUGACUCUCAGAAAAUUAAAAUGCCUAAUUUCUUUAUAUGGCCAGCUUGAAGAUAUCAAAACAUCAAUGCCAAUAAACAGUAUGGGGGAGGGGGCGCCUGGGUGGCUCCAUUGGUUGAGCAUCCAAAUCUUGAUUUCGGCUCAUUUCAUGAUCUUGUAGUUGUGGGAUUGAGCCCUGGAUCAGAUUCUCUCUCUCCCUUUCUCUCUGCCCCUCCCUCACUCUCUCUCUUUCUUAAAAUAAACAAACACUAAAAAACAAAAACAAAAACAAAACAGUAUGGGGAAAGUGGGUAAAUAUAUUAAGUUGUUCUUUAAUAUUCAGAGACCAAGCUAAGGCACAAAGUCUUGAUUUGUAUCUUUCAUCAUCUUACUCCAUUAAGAAAUUCCUUAGACUUACUGUGGUGAUCAUUUUGCCAAAUAUAUAUAAGACUCAUUAUGUUGCACACCUGAAACUAAUAUGUUAUGGCAAUUAAAUUUCAAAUUAAAAAUUUUUUUCUUAUGUCUUUUAUGAAAAUACUUGAAAAAACAAAAAAAUAAAAAUAAAAAAACAAAACCUGUUUUCCUCUUGUUUUCUGAGGAUAGUUUGGCCAGUAAUUUUCAUGCCAAAAACUCAUACCUCUAGUUGAGAGACAUGAAAAGAUCAAGCUUGAUUCUGUAACUGUCUUCUCUCCUUCUAAGAGCAGGAAGUUGAUGUGGCAAGAUGCUUCCUCUGACCCGAAUGGUUGGUGUAAAUGAUCAGCAGACAAUCAGGUUAGCCAGUGCUCCUGUCCAGGGCCUAAGGUUCAGGUAAGCAGAGGCCAGCCUACUGGUCUGCACCCACCUCAGGUGCCAUCCUUAGGUCCUGGGACCUUGCCUGCCUGCACGUAUAUGAGCGGGGGAGGAGACUGGGUCCCACUGGACAGAAGGGAUAAUACGGUUUGCUACAGGAUGAAUAAAAGGGCUGUGGAGAGGAUCACCACAGGCAGACUAUGGCUAUUCCUCACCUUGAAUCUACACCUAAAUCAUCAAUUUAAAUCAACAUUUGUGACAUUUAUCUUUUAAAAUAAAGUAUGUACAAUUAAAAUGAAACAUUAUAAUAAUAUUGGGUAAUGAAUGUAAAGCAUAGAAAAGAGUAGACAAAAAUACAUGAUUUGGCAAAUCAACGUUUUCUCUAUGGUACACAUCAAGUUGGUUUAGAACAGAACAUACUUCACUGAAUGGAUUUAACUUAAGAAUAGUGACAUUUUCAUUACAAAGGCUGCAGGGCAGAUGACUGUAGUCCCAGCAGGCUUGCAACUCUGGGACAGUAUACAGAAUGGCUUGGAUGUUUUCUGGCUCCCUAUCCCAUCUCAUUCACGUGACUAAAAUUUUUUAUGACAGAAUUAUAUCAAAUUUUAACCAUUCUCUUGUAUUUCUUCCUGUUUUUAAUAAGACUAUAUCUGGCACAGAUUCGUUUAAGAAUUGAUAAUGACACUAGUAUUACUGGCUAUUAUUUGUUAGGUAUUUACUCUGAGUUACAUACUGUCCUAAUGCUUUCUCUACAAUCAUCCCCAAUGAAUGAUUUCUAUGCGUUAAGCACCUCUUGAUUUUUAUAACCACCCCAUGAGGUAUAUAUUAUUAUACUCAUUUUUGAGAUGUGGGUCAUAAGAGUCGAAGGUCACACAGCUGGUAGAUGGCAGGGAAGGGAUAGGAAGUUAACUAGUGUGACUCCAGAGUCGGUUCUCUCCAUAUCACUGUCUUUCAGCCUCACACCAUGACCUACAGAGUGUGGCAAUGAAACAGAUUUCAAGGUGGAGAGAGGAAGAUAAUAAUCUCUGAAAAACAACACAAGCCUAAGUAAUCCGUCAAAAGUCUCACUGCCCAGCUUGUUACUUAACCCUAGUGUGAUGAUCUCCUUCAAUUUAAUAACUGCCAUUCAUAAGCUCUACUUUGGCAUUAUCUAAAAAAGAAGGCACUACUAAAUAGUACCCUGAUGAUCUCAAACAAGGAACAGUUUCUAAAGUUCCAGGGAAACAGCUGCAGAUGGAGAAAAUCUAGUUUGCAGUUUUCAGAGAUGCAGUUUUCAGAGUUUUCUUCUCUAUGGUUCCCAUCUGAUACACACAGUGCCUUCUAUGACAUCCAGUUCACUUUAACAGUAAGACAGUAAUGCCUUCAUUGUAUCUUAACUCUUGGGAUCAUAAAUAAAAACUCCUAAGUGCAAGCAGAAAAAGAAGGAAGAGCCACAUUGCUUCAUUUAUCUAUCUGGAUUUCCCCAUUCUGAAUUUGCUGUGAGGAUUUUGUUUUUUAGCUCAUUAUUGUCAAUAUAUCUGAUUGAGAAAGAAGCUAAACAAGUCCCAGGUGAGAAUGCACCAUAGCAACAGGCUUGCCGUGAAUUCUUUGGGGAGCAGAAUUUCACACAAGUAUUUGAUUGCCUAUUCACACUCUUGAUUACAACACACCGAGCUGUUAAACUAAACUGUAUGUCAUUAGUGUAUUGAAGGAACUUUAAAAAAUAAACUACCCUGUGUGAAGAUAUUUUUCACACAUACAUUCACACUGAUAUGUGUUUAAUUGCACGUAGCCCAUUUCUCUUUUAUUCGGAAAACAAGAGACAUCUUUAAACUAUUUCAGAAGUUGCCAAUGUCACUGUGUAGUAAUGUGAUAAAUAAGGCAUUACCUUUUAUCACAGGUAAAUAUUGAAUUCAGAUUCUGGUUCAUAAAUAUUUGUUUAAUCCUUCAUUGUUAUUAUGACAGAAUAUAAAUGUACUACCCUUUGAACUUAAUCAGGAGUAUUAAAGUACCUUGAGUUAGGUAAACAGUGGCCAAAAUAACUAUAGAAAAAAACGAUCUGACAUUAAAACCACCUCAGUCUCAUAGAUUUUGCUGAGCCUCUGGCUCAGCUGGGACAAUACACUGAUAACAAACAAAAAAGAGGCUGCAGAGAAAAAAAAAAGAGUUUAUAUCUAUGUAUCACCACAGAAUGUCAGCCACCCUACAAAUCAUGUCAUGAUCAAAAGUAAGACCAGGUGAAGAUACAGAUGGCAUGGGCAAAAUCCAUCAUAACCAUCAGAAAAUCAACUCAAAGCAAAAGUCCAGAUGAGUGUCAAUUAUUUCCAUCCAUCUUCAUGUCCAAAUAGAACACACUUAACUUUCUCCACAGUUGGUUGUAAAGGCGCUGGAGACUGAGUAUAACAUUUUACAGAUAUUCAAAGACUGAAGAGCAUUCAUUAUUUUUACACAACCAAUUCUGUUAUUUAUGCUACUAGAGACACCCAAUGGUGUGAAUAUAAUCCAAAUUAUUUACAUUUGGUUUUGUAAUGCAUGGUAUAAUGUUUUGGUGGCAGACUUGCCUUUCUAAUUACAUUUUGCUUUAUUAUUAAAAUCAGUUUACAUGUCCUUAAUAUACACCUGCUGUAUGGGAAAGGUGGUGUCACAGAAGCCUGCUGGGCAGGAGGACAGCUGGCUCACAAUUUCAAACACUCCAGACAAGCUCCAGAGAAAAGAGCUGGCCAAACAAUUUCAAACUUUAUUACUUUGUAAGCACUCAGAGUUUACAUAAGAUUAGUAUAAACUACUUGUUUCUUUUCUUCCAUUUUUGAUGUUGUAUUUGACUUUUGUCUUAGAAGACUGGGAAGUACCUUAAACACCUAGAGCACAAUUAGAAAUUAUCACUUCACUAAACAUGCACUCAUAUUUAAUUGAUUAGACAUGGUUUUUAAUGAGAGACAAUUUCCUUAGAAUCUAUUUAUGUAAUUAGAAUAUUCAAGACUAUUUCAAGUAAGAUAAAUACUAAACCACAAUACAAUGGAAACAUGCGAUGAAGCAAGUAUUAUGUAGUGGACACCUGUUGAUUUGCCACUUGGCUUUUUUUUUUUAACGUUUAUUUAUAUUUUAGAGAGAGAGAGACAGUGCGAGAGCAGGGGAGGAGCAGAAGAAAGAGAGGGAGACACAGAAUCCAAAGCAGGCUCCAGGCUCUGAGCUGUCAGCAGAAAGCCCAAGGUGGGGUUUGAACCCACGAACCCUGAGAUCAUGACCUGAGCCAAAGUUAGACACUCAACCAACAGAGCCACCCAGGUGCCCCAGCAUCUUUUUUACCUUUCUUCUAGAUACAGCAUUCUGGUUUUCCUACCUUCCCUAUCCUUGGACUAUGUGAGUUUGGUAUAUUAAGAGUAGUGUUGGUCAAGGCAAGACCAAAGCACAGGAGUUUCUAAUGAAGAUGAAGAAUUAUUUUUGGAGUUUAUAUCUUUCAGCUCACAUUUUACUAUGAACAAACAAGGCUGCACAAGCAAGAACAAGCAAGAACAAGCAAGAACAAGCAAGAACAAGCGAGGCUGCACCUUCAGCAUUUUGGUUGGAAAUCUGUUUAGCCUGCACAGUCAAGUUCAAUGCUUACCUGCUUUCUAUAGAACUGUGGUAGACAAUUCAGCUAAGUUUUCUCCCACUAUAUAUAUAACAAGGAUCACUUUUCCCCUGGUUUCCAACUACAUCUUCCUCAUUUCCUUCUGAGCUAUCACUAGAAGUACCUUUAAAGUCCAUCUUUCUACCAAUAGUAUGUUUAAGGCCUUUUCUACUCUGUCCCUCAAAAAUUUUCCAGGUUCUACCUACUGUCCGGUUCCAAAGUCACUUCUAAUUUUUAGGUAUUUGUUACAUCAGCAUCCCACCCACCAAAUCCUAUGCCUGCUCUAAUAAAUCACCACAAAUCUGGUGGAUUGUAAUGAUGGAAAUUUAUACUCUCACAGUUCCAGAGACCAGAAACUUGAAAUGAGUGUCACUUGGCUGAAAUCAGGUGGUAAGUUGGGAUAUACUCAUUCCAGAAGUUGAAAGGAAGAAUCUGGUCAUUGCCUCUUACAGCUUCUGAUGGCUAGUGGCAUACUGGGCUUUUGGUCACAUCACUGGAAUUUCUGUCUCCACCUUCACAUUGCAUUCUCCUCUGUAUAUGUGUCAAAUGACCCUCUGCUUCUCUCUUACAUGGACAGUUGUGAAGGCAUUUAGAGUUGACCUGGAUAAUCCAGGAUAAUCUCCUACUUUCAAGGCUCUUAAUUACAUCCAUAAAGACCUCUUUUCCAAAUAAAGUAACAUUUACAGGCUAUAGGUAUUAGGACCUCAUAUCUUUGGGGAGGGAAGCAUAUUUUGCCCACUACAAUCACAGUAUAGAGGCACAGCAUAUUAAUUUACUACAAGCCUAUAUGUCUAGAAACAAGUGUUAAAAUUGAAUUUGGCUCUCUAAAAGUGACCAUUUGUUAUUAAUAUUGCAAUAAAAAGCUGCAGAAAUUACUUUUCCAAGGCUAUAAUGUUAACGUGCAAUACUUAUUCUGAUUUUUUCAUAUACAGAUAAGUGUAAUUAACUAUACAAACAAUUUUUAAAUGAAGUCAAUAGUACAGCUAAAUAGAGUAAGCAAUGGUAAAUUAGCAAAUAUAAAUAGGUGCAAAGAUUUAAAAAAAACCUGCAGAAAGUCAAAAGAUUUUAGGAUCAGAUAUCACUUUAUUUUAGGAAACUACUCUUUAGGAAAAUACUUUUUCCCUUAGGGGUGGGUAAAUAAGUGGCUGACCUCUCUCUUUAAAACUGAGUUCUAUCUAGGUUAUACCUUCAUUCUUUUGGAUAAAGAAGGGCCAAGGGUGAUCACAUACCAGAUGGGAGAAUACUGGCUGAGAUGGUUUUGGUAGAGCAGCAGGCAGCUAUUUUUGCCAAUUUGAUCAAUUAUCCCAGAAAUGGCUUCGCAGCCAAGAAACUAGCUCCCUAACUGUAUUUGCUGCUAUAGGAAGGAAGGGAAGAUUUACAGAAGCACUAGUAGUGCUAAACAAAUUAAUGCCUUUUCUCUAACCUAGAAGCAAAUAGUUUGGGAUUUUCCAUCUAGAGCUGUUAACUGCCAAAUAAAAAUGGUGUCCUUAUUAAUAGUUUAAAUUGCUUUGGUAAAGUUGACCCAAGGGCCACAGGCCUAGUGCAAAUUCGAACACUAAGAAAGAAGAUUGUUCUUUUCCAUUUAAGCCUAGCAGGCAAACCAGAGUUACAUUAGAGAAUGACCAUUAAUACUUAAUAGUGAAAAGAAUAACGAUCAACAAAUACUUGGAUUUGUAAAAUAUUAUUCUAAAAAGGUGAUUUGUGCAAGAUACUUUGAGUAUACAGUUGUAUUUUUUAUGUAAAAGAGCAUAAAAAAGCAGCAAAGCAACCUAAUCUAUUUUCUCUGUUAUUCAAAAACCAGAUUGCUUAGCCCACGAGUUCCCUGGUAGAGCACGCCAUUUGUUUCCAAAAAGUUUAUAAGCUUUCUCUUUUAGUAUUUAUUUUGCAAACCUAAACUAACAAAAUAACAAUAAAUAUUGAUUACCUAAAAUGUAAAUGCCCAGUCCUGUAUAAACUUAAAAAUUCACAGCUGUAGAACUUUAGUGAUAAGAGCAGUUUCAAACACUGUUUUUCACUGGAACAGAGUGCCAGAAAUUCUCCAUUGGGUCUGAGAGGAGGCAGACUCAUGGAGUCUGUCAAACUGGAAAGGUCUUAUGCUGAAAAGAUCUCAAGCUGCCACCCUUGCAGACUGUGAAGCCACAGGUAAAGACUAGAGAUCACCCUAGCAGAGUCACAACUGCAGUGACAAGUGAUUGCUGGGUCAGUGUGUUUGUUCAGACUAUAGCCACCUUUUGGAAAACCAUCUACAGAACAUCUUCUUGGGGGUAAUGGCAAUGUUCUGUAUUUUGAUUAGGGUUAUAUAGCUGUAUGCAUUUGUCAAAACUCAUAGAACUACUCACUGAAAGUGUGCAUUUUAUUGCAUGUAAAUUACACCUUGAUAAACUUUCCUCAAAACCAUUAACACACAGCUUUCUAUUUUCUUUUUAUUAAGGUAUGACAUUUUAACCUACAGAUGCAUUUCUUAUGUUUCUGCCAGUAAAUACUGCUGUAGAUUCACUCACUAAUCCACCUUGAUGCACAUUAUGUUUUAGGAAUCAUUUGUCUUCAUUAAUACAUUGUCCAACUUAACUUCUCCUGGGCAAUAGAAUAAUUUUUUCCUGAGAGAUCUAUAAAUGUAACUUUGGAGCAAAGCCACAGAAAGGGCUGCCAGAGAGUAGGGUUUGGGUCCUCUAAGUGUCCCCAACCCUUCUGGUGUUUUCUCCUCCAAGAUGCUGGAAAGAUACUAAUUACCAUUAGCUACACCGCACUGAGGUAAAAUAUCAUUCACAUUAGGUUGAAUCAUUUUAGAACCCUUUUAAAAGACCACAACCAUAUAUAUUAGGCACACUCAUAAAUAUUUUUCAUAACUUAGAUGUUUUGUUUCUAUAAAUUCAUACAAUUUUUUAAAUAAGGGAAAGAAAUUUUAUCAAAGCUACUAUAUCUUCAAUAAAAUCAUUGUAAUUAAAUCAAGAAAACUUUUUAAUCUUAAAUUUCGUUAAUAAAUGCAAAGAUGGGCACUGGAAUAUUAAUGACUCUUUCUGAACUGGUUAACAUGAAAGAUUAAAGUACUGGGCUAUGUAGUUAAACCACUCUGCCUUCUCCCUCUGCUUAGUAAUACAUUAAGGAGAAAAAAAACGUUGUCUGUUUCCGAUUCCAAAUUUGUCUGUGUAAAAUGAAUUUCCUAAGAGGUUAAAAGACGUUCAGCUACCCAUAAAGAGCUAAAAGGUCUUUGAGCUAGUCUCUGGUGAUUAUGUCAAAAUCUUGUAUGUAGGCCACUCAGAGGGGAGAGGACACUGGCCUUCACCCUUAUAGGAACUGAGAGCUAACAGAUGGGGACUGCAGAAUCUCACACUGAGCACCGGACCAAUGAAAGCACUGAUGUUUGCACAGUAAGUUAGUUCAUCAAGGAAAUGGAUCAAGUGUUGGUGAUGAAUAAUAUAUCCUGGGGGACAUGGAGGUCUUACAGCAAUAUAGGAGUACUGCCAAUUAGCUUUACCAAAUCCUAUAGAAGUCUGUAUGGCUAUCUGUGGACUGUGUUCCUUCCAAGAACCCCAUCUGGGAACCAAAAAUGUAACUGUUCAAAACUUUUAAACAGGUAUUGGUACAGAGAGGCAAACACCUAGCUAGAUAAGAUCAAAGGUAUCUGUAUGCUUGCAAGGCACAAAAAUACACUAGAAUGUUGAAAUAUUCUGGCAUAUAGCAUAGUCUGAAUAGAAACUAAGGCUCUUUGCUUUAUCAUGGAAAUCAUGGUCCAGAGACAUUAGUUAGGAUAUUUUAUGCACAGAAAAGACCAGAGGGAAGAAAAUUAGACCUAAAUUUUAGCUUAUUCAAAUUCAUCUAUGUAUGUUAAACUAAGGAGGAGGGGGAAAGGGGGAGAAGACAGAUACUGAUUUGCUUCAACGUUUAGAUGGUCUGUGCCAGGUUUCUCUAUCGUUAAGAUACUUAAUUUCCCUUUGUAAUUAAUAGUAUCUUGCAGGGAGAUACCUUGAGACUACGUAAACAGAUCAUGUAAAUAAUACUGUUUCUCAUGCUAACCCACCAGUUUUAGCAGCCACUGACAAUCCUUGCCUGAAACAAUUACUACUUUGGCGACUGCCAACUGUGCCACCCCCCCACCCCCAUUCUAUCAUUUUAGGAUUAGUUUUACACAAGCAGAUACACUGGAUGAUUCUGAAGAAGAUGGUCUAUCAAACACACGUCAAGAAAUCUGGAUCUGGUUUUGACUACCUGGAAGUAAGGCUGCCAGAGGAAGGCUGGACUAACACCAUUAAGACCUUCUCCCAGAAGGAAACAGUCCCCUCUGGCAAAAUACCAGGUCUGGGGUGUUUUAAGUACCAACUGAUUACAAACAUUUCAUAGGAAAAUUGUAGGUAAAUGAAUGGAGUUGGGGUGAGGCUAAUUUUCUUCUCUCUCCAAGGACACACAUAUGUUCAGUUACAAGAGAUGUGUAAGUAGAAUAAAAUGAUGCUUUCCUUGGAUUAACCACAUUUGUUGACCCAAACAAGGCCACAAAACCAAAUAUGUGAACUCUUCACAAAAGGCAAAGAUGAGCCAAUGAAUUCUUAGGGUAACAAAAAAUAAAAAGGAUGAAAUCUAGAGGACUUCAACCAAAGCACUCAUCCCUUACAGGGAUGUAGGUACAGGGCCACUAAGAAUUUUCCCCCAAACUGAAAAAUACUGCAAUAAAAUUUUAAAGGAUUAAACACCAAAAUACACUGACUCAGGUUUAUUUUUCACACAUGAAAUAAAACAUGAUCCUUCCCUGCGAAAGUACCCCUCUGGUAACACUGAAAACGUAACAUUUAUGGAGUUGUAUAACCUAAAGCAAUUUCUUCAGCAUUAACACAGAGAAGCCAAAUACAAAUAUUAAAUUUUUCCACAGGGUUAAAGUUUCACUUAUCCACCAAUUCUGUUUCUUCCUAAGUAAAUAUGAACAGUUAUAUCUGUUUCAAUCUUAAAAUACUCCUGAAGCAUAAGAUGUUAUUUCCAUAAUCUUGGCCCUCAAACAGAUGACUCAGGCUUGAUUUUAUUAAAUCUACUAACACAGGCUUCCUUACGUUAUUUCAAUAAAAUCGUUUCCUAUAUAAAGUACUCCACAGUUAAUCGUGUGAAUCCCUGUCUACCAUCAAAAGACUUUAUCUGUAAUUCCAGCCGUGGCAGAUUACAUUGCACACAUUCCUCCCCAAUAGAAAAAUAAAUGUGAGGAUGAACAAAUCUAAAACAAAAAUUUUAUAUCCAAUAGCUUCACCCAGUCUCUCCUAGACUUGAACUCUGGCCCUGGAGUCUUGCUGGCUGAACUCCAGGAAACUCUGUUCUUCUAUUCCCAGCCUAUUAUGUCACCUUGUUUCUAUCUUUCACUCAGGCAUUUACUCAAAAACUAUUGGGUGCCUAUUACCAAGCUUCAUGGGGAGGUAAAAAAAAAAAAAAUCUACCAAAGGAUCUGUGCUUUACUGAAGC